GAUGAAGAACGCAGCGAAAUGCGAUAAGUAAUGUGAAUUGCAGAACUCAGUGAAUCAUCGAAUCUUUGAACGCACAUUGCGCCCCCUGGCAUUCCGGGGGGCAUGCCUGUCCGAGCGUCAUUUCUGCCCUCCAGCCCGGCUGGGUGUUGGGCGCUGUCCCCCCGGGGACACGCCCCAAAGGCAGUGGCGGCGCCGCGUCGGGUCCUCGAGCGUAUGGGGCUUUGUCACCCGCUCGGGACGGACUCGUCGGCGCUGGUCUUCCUCCAGGCGACCCUUCGGGGCUCGUCUUCCUUCGGUUGACCUCGGAUCAGGUAGGGUUACCCGCUGAACUUAAGCAUAUCAAUAAGCGGAGGA
rnacentral:misc_RNA from 1 species